rnacentral:rRNA from 1 species
AAUAGAGGAUGCAAGCGUUAUCCGGAAUGAUUGGGCGUAAAGCGUCUGUUGGUGGCUUUUCAAGUCCGCCGUCAAAUCCCAGGGCUCAACCCUGGACAGGCGGUGGAAACUACCAAGCUGGAGUACGGUAGGGGCAGGGGGAAUUUCCGGUGGAGCGGUGAAAUGCAUUGAGAUCGGAAAGAACACCAACGGCGAAAGCACUCUGCUGGGCCGACACUAACACUGAGAGACGAAAUCUAGGGGAGCAAAUGGG